rnacentral:Y_RNA from 1 species
AGCUGGUCUGAGAGGAGUGUGUUAUCCCAACUGAUAGUUGUUACAACCCCUUUCUCACUACUGCACUUGACUAGUCUUAC